rnacentral:rRNA from 1 species
AUUGAACGCUGCGGCAUGCCUUACACAUGCAAGUCGAACGGUAGCGGGCCUUCGGGUGCCGACGAGUGGCGAACGGGUGAGUAAUGUAUCGGAACGUACCUUUCAGUGGGGGAUAACGUAGCGAAAGUUACGCUAAUACCGCAUAUUCUGUGAGCAGGAAAGCAGGGGAUCGCAAGACCUUGCGCUGAUUGAGCGGCCGAUAUCAGAUUAGCUAGUUAGUGAGGUAAAGGCUCACCAAGGCGACGAUCUGUAGCGGGUCUGAGAGGAUGAUCCGCCACACUGGAACUGAGACACGGUCCAGACUCCUACGGGAGGCAGCAGUGGGGAAUUUUGGACAAUGGGGGCAACCCUGAUCCAGCCAUGCCGCGUGAGUGAAGAAGGCCUUCGGGUUGUAAAGCUCUUUCGGCCGGGAAGAAAUCGUAUCAGCUAAUACCUGGUGCGGAUGACGGUACCGGCAUAAGAAGCACCGGCUAACUACGUGCCAGCAGCCGCCGUAACAC